rnacentral:piRNA from 1 species
UCACCAAGGUUGUCUCUAACUGAGGGAGC